AGAGUAAAAAUGUGUUCGUGAAGUGCCUGGUGAACGGGGAGUUGUCAUCGGGACGAAAAGGCUGAUAUGAAUCAGUCUUGCGGUUCACAUUUUGCAUCCCGCU
rnacentral:ncRNA from 1 species